AACUUAUAAUAGAACCAGUAGAGAAAACUCCCAAUCCACUUUACAAAUUUAUAAUCACAGACUACAAUCAACAAGAACACCAACAUCAACAACAGCUGAUGUUAUAUUUACUCAUCAACAAAUAAAUGGACUAAAACUAUGGAUUGAAAUACAAGGUGUAUCUUUGGCGGGUUCUUGUAAUAAUAUAAAUGAAACAACUGCUUCACCCACACCCACCACACCACAACCAGACAGUACUACAACUCCAGGUUCAUCUUCUACACAGACUGAGAUUUCUACCAGUACAACUACAGUAAAUAACAGACCUUCCAGCAUUGCAACCGACCCCAAUACUUCAUCAGAAACAUCAACUGCCCAUCCCACUACAGUAAAUAACACAGAUUCCAAUACCACAUCCAACUACAGCACUUCAUCUCAAACAUCAACUAACACCUCAGAUUUGCGAUCUGGUUCAACAUCAAGAACAUCGACCAAUCCAUCAGACAGUGCAGCACAACAAACAGGCAACAGUAAAUAUUUAUUGUUGAUAGUUGGUUGUGUUGUUGGUGGACUGGUGUUGAUAUUAAUAGUAGUAAUUGUAUGUGUUUUAUUCAGAGUACGAAAAAGGAGGGCUAAUGUCUUACAACAGAAUGUGCACGUGCAUAUUAACAACACUGUUAACAAUAAUACUGCUCCAAAUUACUUCGUACUAGAAAGUUUGAAUACCCAGGAUGAGGAUGUUAAACAUGAUAAUAUUAAUACCAAUCCAUCGGGCUUGGCAACAGGUCAUACACCAGAAUAUGCCGUUGUGAAUAAGGCCGGAAGAAGGUUUAAUGUGACUGAUGGGAAUCCACCGGAACAAGCAACAAAGAGCAAUGCAACUGAUAUGGCAGAUAUGGAAAUAUUAGAGAACGAACUAUACAUACCCUACGAAGCACCUAACAAUCUAGAUAACACUGGUGCUGUAGCUUCUACAAGCAAUAACAUACCACAACAUCAACAACCAUCAGGAGAUAUGGAAAUAUUAGAAAAUGAACUGUACAUACCCUACGAGGCAUCCAACAAUCCAGAUAACACUGGUGCUGUGGCUUCUACAGCCAAUAAUAUACAACACCAUCGACCAUCAGGAGAUAUGGAAAUACUAGAGAACGAACUGUACAUACCCUACGAGGCAUCCAGCAAUCCAGAUAACACUGGUGCUGUGGCUUCUACAACCAAUAAUAUACCACAACAUCGACCAUCAGGAGAUAUGGAAAUCAUGGAGAAUGAUUUGUAUGUUCCUUUUGAAAAUUCUGCUGUUGAGGUGUCGAAACCUAUGACAAGCAGUAUAUAUGAUAAUGCUUCUAACAACGGGACAAAACAAAACGUUGCUACACCCGACAUGGAAAGCAGGACAAAGCAAAACGUUGCUUCGUCUGAAAUGGAAAUCCUAGAAAAUGAUUUGUAUGUUCCUUUUGAAGACACAGAUAAAACAGAGAAUAAGUCAAGCGACCAAGCACCAAAUGUGUAGAUUUUAGAAAAUAAUUUAUAGGUUCCUUUCGAAAAAACACAAAUAUGAUUUCAGUUCUUAAUUACUCCAAAACGCCCACAGACAACUGUAAUACAAAUACGGGCAAUGGGUUUUAUGUGCUCAUUCCAUAAUAUGUAAAAACAAAUAGUGGAUAACAUAAUAUUGAAUUAGUUUUAGUCCACCAAAAAUGUUUAAUAGCCACCCAUGUUGCUUAUAUAUACUCUUCAAAAAAACGUAGGGGAUAUUCAGAAACAAUACAAAACUGCGAAAAUGCACUGCUGUUUUUAUUAGAGGUAACCAGUGUAUGUUAAUAACAGGCCAAUUGUCUAUACAUGAACAUAAACAGUUCAUAUGGGCGGUUUAUCUGACGGCCCCUUUUCACUCGCAAAGAGAUACACUAUAAAAAGUGAAAAUGGACGUUUUUUGAUUUGUGUCUUAAUAAUGAGUAAUUGCUCCAACAAUGAUCAGACAUUUAGCAAUUAUUCGUGGCAUGCCCCUAAUCAACCGUCCAAUCACGAUUUGGGGCAAUUUGACCAACUCCUCUUGCAGUGCUACGUAACACACUAAAGGAAAGAUACGCUAAACAGUAAAUCUUAUGUAAGAACCGAUAGGAAAGCCAACGCGGAUAGGAUAAACCAGCAAGCGGCAGUUUUCAUCAACCCUACCUUAAAGUGUCAAAUAUGACAAUGAACCCCUCCCACGUGUAUGGCGCUAUUGGGUGUCGCACGUGCAGCUCAGUGGUUCUGUUGGGGCAUAAGUUCUUCAUCUGUGAACAUACUCUGAACGCAUGUCAAGUGUCCAUGACUAUUUAUCAUAUCACAACUUGCAUAGGUAUUUGCAUUUCAAUAUCCCCUACUUUUUUUUGAAGAGUAUAUAUAUUUCGUGCACUAUCAACGCCCCCCCCCCCCCACCUCUCUUACAAGUAACGACCGUAGUAUAGAGUAUUUUCCUCAAAUCUUUGUACAUACGAUUAUAUUAUAGUGUAAAGGUGUAAUGUGGGUUGGACAAUUUAAUUUUGAAUUCAUUUUAGUUGAAGAAACACAAUAGAAGUACAUGUCAACCGUCAACAGAUCGUGAGCUCUAUGUUAUAAUUCCGUGACUGGAGUAAAUUGUUGCUCGAUAUGAACACCGGAAAUGAGAUAUGAAUUAACUAUAGCAUGUAUCUGUUUUAUUACGAUAAUGACGACCGAUCAAGAUGUUUUUCAGGGUCCUUUAAUGUGUAUUUUAUAAUUGUUUCUCUGUGAAUAACUAUUUAAUACAUCUCCGGGAUUAAUAUCGGUUUUAUUCAUGUACAUCUCCAGGGAGAACAGAUAGAAAAUGAAACAUGUUGAGUUGAAUGGUUUUCUUCCCAGUAGAAACCGUUUUAUCUUUGUAUUAAACGAUAUACACGACAUAAGAUUGGAUAUACAAAGUAAAAAUUUAUUAAUAAUUUUAAAAGUAAACAACACAGAAUAAAACAUCUUACGUAAUAAAACUCCUACGGAGACUUGUUUUGUUAACGCCUAUUUUAAGUGAUUUCCUGUAUCUAUAUAUCUUUAUAAAUACAUUUCUGUCUACGUAAUCAAAUUCUAUAUAUACGUUAAGUAUUUUUUAUAUACGUCAAGUACUUUUUAUAUAUACAUAAAGGACUUUUUAUAUACGUAAAGGACGUUUUAUAUACGUAAAGGACUUUUUAUAUACGUCAAGAUACGCCAAGUAUUUUUUAUAUACGUAAAGUAUUUUUUAUAAUGUAAAGUAUUUUUUAUAAUGUAAAGUAUUUUUAUAGUAUUUUUUAUAUACGUAAAGUACUUUUUAUAGUAUUUUUUAUAUACGUAAAGAUACGUCAAAUAUUUUUAUAUAUGUAAAUACAUGUCUAUCUAAGUCUGUAUCUAUGCAAAUCCAUUUCUAUAUUUGUAACAUAAAUAAAUUUCUAUAUAAAUUUCCAUGUACUUCUAUAAAUUUCUACAAAUUUCUAUAACUUUCUAUCCAUCUGUACAAGAUGGAAAGAUUAUUUUAGGGGUUUUAUUAGUUGUUUUUUGUUUGUAAAUUGUAUGCUGUGUAAAUCCAGCAGAAAGCCAGCCUUUAAUCUAUCUAUUUAGUAUGGUCGUCGUACUGUAGAAUAUUCCUGCUGUCCAAACUAGUACCAUCUAACUGGGGGGUUAGCAUGUGCGCGCUGUAUCAUAAGGUCUGUCAUUGAGUCAACCGGUGUGGUUUCGAGUCCCCGAUUGUACGUGGCGAGGAGUAGGGUCGCGUGUCCAACCUCGUGGGGGUUUUCCGGGUCCUCCGGUUUCCUCCCACUGCUAAAUACCCCUAUGCGCAAGCGAAUUAUUGAAAAAAAUAAACCAUGUUACUCCCAAAAAUGACCAAGUUCGUGUCGAGUGGACGUUAAACUCUCUCUUUCUCUCCCAUCUUACUACUCUUUGAAAUUGAAGCUACCAGUUUAACUCAACACAGACCAAUACAAACAAUCUGAUUGGUCAACCAAUUCACGUGAUCUUGUCACGCACAAGUGGGGAAUCGAAACCAUGCCACUUGACUCAAUGGAAAACCAUAUGAUUCACUGCGCACGCAUUAAUCACCCCCCCCCCCCCCCUGCCGUUAAUGUUGUUCAAGUUGUUGACUCAGGGGAAAGGAUCGUUCUACGAUCAU